rnacentral:rRNA from 1 species
UACGGGGGGGGCAAGCGUUGUUCGGAAUUACUGGGCGUAAAGGGCUCGUAGGCGGCCAACUAAGUCGGAUGUGAAAUCCCCAGGCUUAACCUGGGAACUGCAUCCGAUACUGGAUGGCUUGAAUUCGGGAGAGGGAUGCAGAAUUCCAGGUGUAGCGGUGAAAUGCGUAGAUAUCUGGAGGAAUACCGGUGGCGAAGGCGGCAUCCUGGACCGGUACUGACGCUGAUGCGCGAAAGCGUGGGGAGCAAACGGG